AGAGCGCCAAGAUAAAGACACGUGCAGUGAUACCCUUAGCUGACUCUGUGCCUGUGUGCGUCGUAUCCACAUCUAUUAACAGUACCUUCAUGAAAGAUAACAAUAUUCCGUUGACAUGUAUAGCGAAAGGUAAACAGAUUUGCCACAGUAAUAGCAGCACAAAGUGCUCUGAAAUUCUUGCUUUCGAAUAGCCAACAUAUCUAAAUUAAUGUUAAACAUUGUAAUUUGUGUGGUGCCAGCUUACGUGCGAAUGUUAAACUAGGAGUAAACAAAAGCUCAAGUUGCGAGAAAAGUUGAAGCAAGAUCAGUAAAGGUAUUCUAUAACGUAUAUAUAUUGAAUUUUCGAUGGAUUUAUUAAGUGAACUGUUUAUUUUUAGGAAUUUUAUAAUUGUAUUUACUCCGAAAUAAAUUAUUGAAUUUG